rnacentral:rRNA from 1 species
AUUGAACGCUGGCGGCAGGCCUAACACAUGCAAGUCGAACGGUAACAGGAAGAAGCUUGCUUCUUUGCUGACGAGUGGCGGACGGGUGAGUAAUGUCUGGGAAACUGCCUGAUGGAGGGGGAUAACUACUGGAAACGGUAGCUAAUACCGCAUAACGUCGCAAGACCAAAGAGGGGGACCUUCGGGCCUCUUGCCAUCGGAUGUGCCCAGAUGGGAUUAGCUAGUAGGUGGGGUAACGGCUCACCUAGGCGACGAUCCCUAGCUGGUCUGAGAGGAUGACCAGGCACACUGGAACUGAGACACGGUCCAGACUCCUACGGGAGGCAGCAGUGGGGAAUAUUGCACAAUGGGCGCAAGCCUGAUGCAGCCAUGCCGCGUGUAUGAAGAAGGCCUUCGGGUUGUAAAGUACUUGCAGCGGGGAGGAAGGGAGUAAAGUUAAUACCAUUGCUCAUUGACGUUACCCGCAGAAGAAGCACCGGCUAACUCCGUG